AAGUCGUAACAAGGUUUCCGUAGGUGAACCUGCGGAAGGAUCAUUAUAGUAUUCUAUUGCCAGCGCUUAAUUGCGCGGCGAUAAACCUUACACACAUUGUCUAGUUUUUUUGAACUUUGCUUUGGGUGCAUCAGCCUAGCUGCGUGCCCAAAGGUCUAAACACAUUUUUUUUAAUGUUAAAACCUUUAACCAAUAGUCAUGAAAAUUUUUAACAAAAAUUAAAAUCUUCAAAACUUUCAACAACGGAUCUCUUGGUUCUC
rnacentral:misc_RNA from 1 species